rnacentral:ribozyme from 1 species
CGCCCUUUCAUGUUUUCACUGCAGCAUGCCAGCAUGGCAACAUCACACCUUCUCCUUCUUCCAGCUUUGAAAAAAAGGCUUUUUGCCUCUCAUU